rnacentral:rRNA from 1 species
GACGAACGCUGGCGGCGUGCUUAACACAUGCAAGUCGAACGGAAAGGCCCUGCUUUUGUGGGGUGCUCGAGUGGCGAACGGGUGAGUAACACGUGAGUAACCUGCCCUUGACUUUGGGAUAACUUCAGGAAACUGGGGCUAAUACCGGAUAGGAGCUCCUGCUGCAUGGUGGGGGUUGGAAAGUUUCGGCGGGUGGGGAUGGACUCGCGGCUUAUCAGCUUGUUGGUGGGGUAGUGGCUUACCAAGGCUUUGACGGGUAGCCGGCCUGAGAGGGUGACCGGCCACAUUGGGCCUGAGCUACGGCCCAGACUCCUACGGGAGGCAGCAGUGGGGAAUAUUGCACCAUGGGCGGAAGCCUGAUGCAGCAACGCCGCGUGCGGGAUGACGGCCUUCGGGUUGUAAACCGCUUUCGCCUGUGACGAAGCGUGAGUGACGGUAAUGGGUAAAGAAGCACCGGCUAACUACGUG